AGGUGCUGCAUGGCUGUCGUCAGCUCGUGUCGUGAGAUGUUGGGUUAAGUCCCGCAACGAGCGCAACCCUCGCCAUUAGUUGCCAGCAUUAAGUUGGGCACUCUAGUGGGACUGCCGGAGCUAAUCCGGAGGAAGGCGGGGAUGACGUCAAGUCCUCAUGGCCCUUAUGGGUUGGGCUACACACGUGCUACAAUGGCGGUGACA
rnacentral:rRNA from 1 species